rnacentral:rRNA from 1 species
CCAAUAGCGUAUAUUAAAGUUGUUGCAGUUAAAAAGCUCGUAGUUGAAUUUCGGGGUUAGUAGGUUGGUCAUGCCUCUGGUAUGCACUGGCCUCACUGAUUCCUCCUUCCUGAUGAGCCGUAAUGCCAUUAAUUUGGUGUUGCGGGGAAUUUGGACUGUUACUUUGAAAAAAUUAGAGUGUUUAAAGCAAGCUAACGCUU